UUCAGAGCGGCACACUACUCCUCCGCAUCCCUCUGCACCACCCACGCGCGAUUCCUACGGAUUGCUCGCAAUCCGCAAUCAGCGGGAAAAAAAAACACGCUAGCGCCGCCCCACAUCGCCGCGCCGCUCCCCCUUCGCCACGGCUCAUCCUCCUCGUCGCGAGUCCCCUCGGCCUCCGCAAUACGCCGCGGCACCACACCUCCCUCCCGUCCCGCACCUCCUCCUAGAUCGCCGCCACCGAUACCGCGUCCUCCACCGUCGCUGAAUCCCCUUUGCCGCGCGCCCAUCAUUGGAUCGAGCGUUGUCGUCAUAUCCACCUCCACCGUUGUGGAGUCCCCCGCCCCACAUCCCCGUCCCCGGCGUUUCUCCACCCCGCAUCACCUGCCGUCGACGCUCAUCGCUAAUCUGCUCCUCUCCGCCACCGCCAGCGCCCGCAUCCACGCCUGCCCAGAUCACGCUGCCGACGCCACUCCCCGAUCUCAACUGACCAAUGUCGUGCCCUUACCCCCAGCGCCACAUCCCACCCUCUCCUCCCCUUUUGGCCUUCGAGGCUUCGCUUCGGUCCCACACCGACACGAGAUCCAUUCCUGUUCAGAGGAGGCAUACGGGGCAGAAUAUUGUUCAUUCAUAGAGAGGCAUAAUGCACAGUUAAUUUCAAUCACUUUCCAUUUUCACUAAUGGCUGGGCAGACACCGGUGGCUCUUGGGUGAAAUGAGAGCAAGUCAACCGAUCAUUUUCAUGAAGAGAUGAAUUAGACGGAACAACAGAGCCUCAUGGGGACUCAAACUUUUGAGAUAUGUAUAUUGGCAUGAAGAGAAAAGGAUACAAAUAUAUGAAGCCUCUGACUUGUUGGGUUGUUGUAUGUGUUAGUUCCUGGCAAUGCAGAGCUAGCACUGUAAGGAAAUGACUGUGUUGAGGCAAGUGUCAAGCACUAACUUCUUCCACAACAACCCUGUCUUCCAUGGUAACCAUUCCGUUACUCCCUCCUUCCCAAAUUGAUCAUCACACUAUGAAAUUCAAGAUUUCUCAAAUUGAUCAUCAUAUAACCGCAUGGACACGGAUUUCAUCAGAAUACCAUUAAUACAACAUGGAAGAAUGUGUGCAUGCUAAGGUGUAAUUGGCAUGGUGUUAAUCGAUGCAUGUAUUGUGGGAGAAUGUGUGCAUGGUAUCUUGAUUGAUGUGAUUUAAAUUAUCAUUGGUCUUGGUGCAUAAACAUAUAUGAUGAUCAAUUUGGGAAGGAGGGAGUAUUUCUUUUGCUAUGUAAUGAGAACCAUUGUGUAGAAUUUUGUAAACAACUUUAACCAUUGCUUCUCUGCAUGCAAAUGCAGAUCCAUUCCUUUCCAAAAGGAUUAGUUACCAUUUCUUUUAAUUUUUACACAUAUGAUUAGCAAUUGUCUAUAAGCAUUAGGAAUGAGAAUCAGAUGAAACUAUAGACAAACUUUCCAAAGUAGUAUCAAUAUGUGGCCAAUAAUGUGCUGUUCCAUUCAUUAAUUUUGUUAUAUGUGGUACUAGCAUGUGAAUACUAUAAAGAUGUGAAAAUUAUAAAUAUGUGACGUAAUUAUUAUUAGUUCUAUAUUAA